rnacentral:rRNA from 1 species
GUCCUAGCUGUAAACGAUGGGCACUAGGUGUGGGGGAUCGACCCCUUCCGUGCCGAAGUUAACGCAUUAAGUGCCCCGCCUGGGGAGUACGACCGCAAGGUUGAAACUCAAAGGAAUUGACGGGGGCCCGCACAAGCGGUGGAGCAUGUGGUUUAAUUCGAUGAUACGCGAAGAACCUUACCGGGGCUUGACAUGCAGCAGAAGUUUCGUGGAAACACGUUCGUCCCUCACGGGGACUGUUGCACAGGUGCUGCAUGGCUGUCGU